AAAAAAAAAGAAAAAAAAAGGAAAAAAGCCAGAAAAAAAGGGAAAAGGCAAAAAAAAAAAGAGAAAAAAGGCAAAAAAAAAGAAAAGGCAACCAAAAAAAAGGCAAAAAAAAAAAAAAAAAAAAGCAUGGUUCAAUGACGACAAACCCCCAAACCUCCUCCCAGCUCCCCCCGUCUCGCCGCGCCGCCUAACCCCUGCGUGGAAACAGGCGUUUUAGGGAGCCGGAGCAGGAAGUUGUUGUUCUCUGUCUUGCCCAGGUCAUCCUUAAAGGGGGCUGCAGAGUAGCCGAUGCCUGGAUACGGAUCAUCUCAUUGCCUUUGGACUGCCAUGGUGCCAAGCUGUCCUUGAGGCUGAGGUAGUAGAUUGAAUAGUUGUGGAGUGCGGUCCUCCCUUUGAGCUAACUAUACAAUCUACUGUCUUUCCUAAGGAGACAGUCAGGUCUUCGGUUCUCAUCAUCUACUUCUACACCAAGCACGGAGGCAGGUGGUGCAAGUAAUGCAAAGCCAGCGGUGCAGCCGCGAGUCACCAAGGCCUCCGUACUGCUCUGUGGAGAGCAGCAAAACCACUUGGAGGACUGGCUCAGCCACGGAGCUCCUGAGGCAUCAUCAGUUCUUUCUGUUGAGGAUCCUAAAACACAGCAUGGUGUUGUUGAACAGCUCAGUGGUCUUCUCUUACAGCAUCAAGGAUUGCAUUCUUCCAGGGACCGCUCUGUGCCUCAGCCGUAUGAGUGUGGAGCCACCUCCUUACAGAAAACUGAACCUCUCUUUAAUGGGUGCAAGAAAAACAAUGAAAUGAGUUGGUGCAUCAGCUCCUAGUGUUCCGUUCUAGUCUUUUUUUUUUUUUUUUUUUUUUCCCCGGAAGAUGGGCUCACGUUGUAGAGGUUUUAAGCAUGCCGUUCUUUUCUGGUCUUCCCUCAAGCCUGGAGGGGAGUAGAUACUUUGGUACAAAGCAGAUUGAUCUGAGCUUGCGAUUUUAAGUUUGUUGUGCCCAGUUCUGAAGUCUGGGUUAAGAACUGGCUCCAAGAGCAAGCUUAGCCCGUGGACUCAAAGCCUUGGGAGCUGAUCAGAUUUGGCUGUUUGGCCCCUACUCAGGAAACACAUUCUGUUUUGGACAACUACCCAGCUCUCCCAUGGUAGAGGGUGGUUCUUUCUGACUUGAUAAUCCGUAUCAGCCUAACUCACUUAUAUGCAAAUCCUGGCGAGGACAUUAGGGCUCCUGUGUUUUUGCACAGAAUAAGCCAAUGUUUCAGACUAACACCCUGUCCUAGAGGGGAGACAGGUGGGGAAGAGAUGUGAUCCAAAGGGAGCAAGUCCUAAUCUUUCUGGGUUCUCCCAGGCAGGUAGCACUGUCAUCUGACAACAGGCAUACGAGAAGACAGAACGCUGCAGAGCUCUGGUGCUUGACAAGGGUCAGGGAGUUGUUAUUUCUUCUCUUAGGAGCAGAUGGGACUAUUCCUCUGCCAUAUUCAAAAGUAAGUAGGAUCAGGACCAUAAGCGGAGCUGUGACACGAUCAGGGCUGGAGGACAUCUCAGGCCGUUAUCACUGCCAUCCCACUGUUAGGGAGAAGCGUGAGAUCUGAGACAUUGGGGCGUGAGGGCAAGCAGAGGACACCUUCUCAGAUGAACCGGGAGGAAGCGAGCUGCAAAAAGAAAUUGGAGGCCUGAAAUUUCACCCUGACCAAACACAGAGCGAGACCCAGACCUGAUUGCUUGGGCCAUGGGACUCCCCAGAAUGAAGCAGCUUAAGGCUUCUCCGCUUCUUGGGCUGGGGCGCAGAUGCAGCAGGGCUGGGACAUGACUUCCUCAGGCUGGGCAACAGCUGGUGGGUGGGGAUGCCGCAGUGUCUAGCAGCGAAGGAAUGCAGUCCUCUCUCCAUAAAUCUGGCUCUUCAGCCGUCCUGGCAACUUGCUGUGCGAAACUACAGCUUAGUCCUCUUAGAUGCGUUAUUAUCCUCAAGCUGCUUGCUAAGGGGCAGGGCUCCUACCCGCAAAUUGCUUGGAAGGUACCAAAAUAGCACCACAAGCAUGGGAACAGAGCGGUAUAUCCACUUCGUCUGUAAGAGGUAUCCCCUAGUAAAGAACUCAUCCUGUGUCCCCCAAGUGAAACCAGUUCAUCCCCCCCCCCCCCCCCCCCCCCUUCCCACCAAGAGAGUCACAAGCAGUGAAACUGUGCGAGCUGGGAGCCGUGAAUUACUGGAGAGAUUCUCUUGUGAAAAUAAACUUGGU